GUUUUUGAUUUUCCGGGUUUCAGUUGUGAUACGGUAGUCGUUGUCCAUACUGUGGGCUCAUCCGAGGGACACGUGUUGGGUGAUUUGGGAUUGUUCCUGAGGAUAUUUUGAGACGGCUGCCACGUUGGCUUUGUGAGACCACAACUUGAGACCUCGUGGUUGGGACAGUGACACGUGGAACUUUGAAGAGAAUAUUCGUUUUGUGGCUUUAAACUUUGCUUUGGCUGUGCCUGUCUGGCCGGCUUAGC
rnacentral:misc_RNA from 1 species